ACGAACGCUGGCGGCGUGCUUAACACAUGCAAGUCGAACGGUGAAGGGGCCUGCUUUUGUGGGCCCUGGAUGAGUGGCGAACGGGUGAGUAACACGUGAGUAACCUGCCCCCUUCUUCUGGAUAACCGCAUGAAAGUGUGGCUAAUACGGGAUAUUCUGGGUCUGUCGCAUGAUGGGUCUGGGAAAGAUUGCGCCUUUGGGUGUUUUUGGUGGGGGAUGGGCUCGCGGCCUAUCAGCUUGUUGGUGGGGUGAUGGCCUACCAAGGCGGUGACGGGUAGCCGGCCUGAGAGGGUGGACGGUCACACUGGGACUGAGACACGGCCCAGACUACUACGGGAGGCAGCAGUGGGGAAUAUUGCACAAUGGGCGCAAGCCUGAUGCAGCGACGCCGCGUGAGGGAUGGAGGCCUUCGGGUUGUAAACCUCUUUCGCCAGUGAAGCAGGCCUGCUCCUUGUGGGUGGGUUGACGGUAGCUGGAUAAGAAGCGCCGGCUAACUACGUG
rnacentral:rRNA from 1 species